rnacentral:rRNA from 1 species
CUGUCAGGAGUUAAGAAAUGUAAAUGUGCUAAUACCACAUUUAUUUGACGAAGGCUCCAAAGGAAGCCACGGCUAACUCUGUGCCAGCAGCCGCGGUAAUACAGAGGUGGCAAGCGUUGUUCGGAAUUAUUGGGCGUAAAGAGCACGUAGGUGGGUUUGUAAGUCAGAUGUGAAAGCCUUCUGUUCAACGGAAGAAUUGCAUCUGAAACUGCGAGUCUUGAGUGUAGGAGGGGAGAAUGGAACUUCUGGUGGAGCGGUGAAAUGCGUAGAUAUCAGAAGGAACGCCGGCGGCGAAAGCGAUUCUCUGGCCUAUUACUGACGCUCAGUGUGCGAAAGCUAGGGGAGCAAACGGGAUUAGAUACCCCGGUAGUCCUAGCCGUAAACGAUGGGCACUAAGUAGAGGGAAUUACCGAUGUUCUCUCUGCCGUAGCUAACGCAUUAAGUGCCCCGCCUGGGGAGUACGGCCGCAAGGCUAAAACUCAAAAGAAUUGACGGGGGCUCGCACAAGCGGUGGAGCAUGUGGCUUAAUUCGAUGCAACGCGAAGAACCUUACCGGGGCUUGACAUGGUAGAAGUAGGAACCCGAAAGGGUAACGAACGGUAUCCAGUCCGUAACUAUCACAGGUGUUGCAUGGCUGUCGUCAGCUCGUGUCGUGAGACGUUGGGUUAAGUCCCCUAACGAGCGAAACCCUUGUUUUUAGUUACCAGCGGGUUGUGCCGGGUACUCUAGAAAGACUGCCGUCGUCAAGACGGAGGAAGGUGGGGAUGACGUCAAGUCAUCAUGGCCCUUAUGCCCCGGGCUGCACACGUGCUAC